rnacentral:rRNA from 1 species
AUUGAACGCUGGCGGCAGGCCUAACACAUGCAAGUCGAACGAGUGGCGGACGGGUGAGUAAUGUCUGGGAAACUGCCCGCUGGAGGGGGAUAACUACUGGAAACGGUAGUUAAUACCGCAUACCAUCGGAUGUGCCCCGGUGGGAUUAGCUAGUAGGUGGGGUAACGGCGCACCUGGGCGACGAUCCCUAGCUGGUCUAAGAGGAUGACGAGCCACACUGGAACUGUGAGACGGUCCAGACUCCUACGGGAGGCAGCAGUGGGAAAUAUUGCACAUAGGGCACAAGCCUGAUGCAGCCAUGCCGCGUGUAUGAAGAAGGCCAUCGGGUUGUAAAGUACUUACAGCGGGGAGGCGUUACCCGCAGAAGAAGCACCGGCUAACUCCGUGCCAGCAGCCGCGGUAAUAC